UACAGAGGUCUCAAGCGUUGUUCGGAUUCAUUGGGCGUAAAGGGCGCGUAGGUGGUUUGAUAAGGGUGUGGUGAAAGUCCGGGGCUCAACUCCGGAUCUGCCGUGCCGACUGUCAAACUCGAGGGCUGUAGAGGCAGACGGAAUUCCGGGUGUAGCGGUGGAAUGCGUAGAGAUCCGGAGGAAGACCGGUGGCGAAGGCGGUCUGCUGGGCAGUUUCUGACACUGAGGCGCGACAGCGUGGGGAGCAAACAGG
rnacentral:rRNA from 1 species